GAAGGCUCGUGGGUCGUAAACCUCUUUUCCCAAGGAAGAAGUUCUGACGGUACUUGGGGAAUAAGCAUCGGCUAAUUCCGUGCCAGCAGCCGCGGUAAUACGGGAGAUGCAAGCGUUAUCCGGAAUCACUGGGCGUAAAGCGUCUGUAGGUGGUUUGUUAAGUCUGUUGUUAAAAACUGAAGCUCAACUUCAGGGGUGCGGCAGAAACUGGCAAACUUGAGUGUGGUAGGGGUAGGAGGAAUUUCUAGUGUAGCGGUGAAAUGCGUAGAUAUUAGGAAGAACACCAUUAGCGAAGGCGUCCUACUGGGCCAUAACUGACACUCAGAGACGAAAGCUAGGGGAGCAAACGGGAUUAGAUACCCCGGUAGUCCUAGCCGUAAACGAUGGAUACUAGGUGUCGCGGGUUUACCUGCGGUGUCGUAGCUAACGCGUUAAGUAUCCCGCCUGGGAAGUACGCACGCAAGUGUGAAACUCAAAGGAAUUGACGGGGGCCCGCACAAGCGGUGGAGCAUGUGGUUUAAUUCGAUGCAACGCGAAGAACCUUACCAGGAUUUGACAUACUAGGAAUUUCCUUUAAUCGGGAAAGUGCCCUCGGGAACCUAGAUACAGGUGGUGCAUGGCUGUCGUCAGCUCGUGUCGUGAGAUGUUGGGUUAAGUCCCGCAACGAGCGCAACCCUUGUCUUUAUUUGCCAUUCUUAAGUGGGGGACUAUAAAGAGACUGCCCGUGAAAAGCGGGAGGAAGGUGAGGAUG
rnacentral:rRNA from 2 species